CUUCUAGGGUUCUUUUCAAGAUGGAAGUGCUCUGCAACAUUCGCUACCAUGGCUCACCUCAUCUACCAUCGAUCUCGACUCAUCUCUUUUAGCCGGCGAGCUUGGGCUAACAUUACCUCGAUGGAGACCACAACAGAUGCUCAAGUUUACAAGCCCUAGGUCUGGUUUAACGACCAUCAGAUCUUCUUUGUGAUCUGUCUCGCACAACAAGCCUCCCUCUCAAUAACAUCGUCUUCCUUGUGUUGAUCAAAAGACGCAGGGCUUGAAUUCUCUCACACACACAAACACACUUUCUGUGUACUUUCUCUUUCCUCAACUCGAAAUCCUACAUCUCCGAUCUAUUAACCUGUGUCCCCUUUGAAACCCUAAGAUCGGAGUUGCUGUCUCAUCUACCCUCUCAAUAACAUCGUCUUCCUUGUGUUUAUCAGAAGACGUAGGAUUGAAUUCUCUCACACAUACAAACACACUUUUUGUGUACUUUCUCUUUCCUCAAUUCUCAGGCCUGAUUUCGACUCAGAAUCCUACAUCUCCGAUCUAUUAACCUAUGUCCCCUUUGAAACCCUAAGAUCAGAGUUGCCGUCUCAUCUACCCUCUCAAUAACAUCGUCUUCCUUGUGUUGAUCAGAAGACGUAGGCUUAAAUUCUCUUACACACACAAACACACUUUCUAUGUACUUUCUCUUUCCUCAAUUCUCAGCCCUGAUUUCGACUCGGAAUCCUACAUCUCCGAUCUAUGAACCUGUGUACCCUUUGAAACCCGAAGAUCGGAGUUGCUGUCUCAUCUUUCAUCCCUUAAACAUGAACUAGUAGAGCGAGUUAACCGAGAUUAUGCUGACUUCGUGAAUCUCAGCACCAAACUUGUAGAUGUCGAUGCCGCUGUUUUGCGUAUGAGGGCACCACUCAUUGAGAUCCGUGAGAAAAUAUAAGGUAUGCCAAGGAAUUUUGCGAUGCAAUUGUGGCAAAAUGCCUUACAGGGAGGCCAAAAACGGUUAAGAAGGCACAAAUGGUGUUUAUGCUUUGGUUGGAAUUGAUGGUGUUUAUGCUUUGGGUGGAAUUGCAACAGCUGUUUGUGGUCCAUGUUGUAGAGUAAUUCAAGUGCCUCCUGUUGUUGACUGCUUGCAGCCUGUUGUCAACAUAGUUCCAUUACAGGCAUACACAAGUCAAAUUGUGGUGAUGGCUAUGGUGGCUCUAGCCAUUGGAGCUGACACAAUCUCUUCUAAACCACGAAGAGAAGCAAUCAAGAAAGCCUUGUACAUUUGCCAAGUAUGAUCCAUUUCCAUUUCCAUAUACAGCAACAGGGUUAACAUACUCUAAUUAAAAAAAAAAAAUUUAAGGCAAAGUGAAGGAAGUGUUGAAACUUGAUGAAGAGACAGAAGGGUCCUGUGGUAGCUGAAGCUAUGUUUGUAGAUCGUGAAGAGAUUCCAGACUAUCCAAUAUAUAGGGACCUUGUUCAUGAUUUUGGAUUUUUCUGUUAAGAUCCUGUUGCAAUACAAUUCCUGAGCUAUGAGGAGAUUCCCCUUGCUCCAGAUGCUGCUUGUGUUGGAUUGGAAGUUAGAGUUGUUGGUAAUGAUAGUGGAGAGAAGGUAUACACAAAUCAUCUUUGUGGGCCAGCUUUAAUUGAAAAGUUCAAUGAAGAGAUUGAAGUUAGGGCAUUGAAGGAGCAGGUGUUUGUGAUUGCUUGCUCACAUGUUGGAGGACAUAAGUAUGCGGAAUAUAUAGUUCAGUUGAAGAUGGAAAAGUGUCUGGACAUCGGUAAAACAAUCCAUAAUCGAGACCACAAUCCAAAAAUACCCUCCCUCCAAAUAUCAUCUAAAACUUAGUGGGCUCGAUCGCACCCCCAAGGAUGAAGAGAAGAAGAUGGGUAUUGUUGUGAAGGAAGAUUUUUGUGGUCCGGAUAGAUCAAACACCAUGGUAAUCAAGAGACUGAUAGUAUUACAUUUAUGAGCUUCUCAAGGUAACUUUUUCAUUCAAUAUUCCCCCUACUCUUUAAUCUAUUCUCGUUGUUGUCAACAUUGGCGUACCCACUGUAUGCUUGUAUUGACAAUGCAAAACACGAUCACCUCUACCAAACUCAAUUUUACUUCUUCACUUCUCUGAUUGCUUGAUACCAAAUCAAUUCAUCAUCUUCUUGUUUGUUUCCUUAAUUAUAUAUAUUUUUUUCAUGUAAUCUGCGUUGAGGAGAAGCCGUGAUUAAUGAUGUUUUUGAUUGAUCUGGAAUCCAUCUCGGAGGCAACAUCAGGAGCUAUUGGAGCUGUUUUGAGCACAACCAUCUUGUACCCUCUUGAUACCUGUAAAGCUAAGUAUCAGGUCGAGGUUCGCUCUCAUGUACGACAGAAAUACAAGUGGAAGAAACAAAUCCUUAAACAAGAAUGUUUAAGGACUCUUCCAUAAUUUUUUUACCUACGGGAAACCAUCAGAUGUGUUGUUAGAAGCAGUAUCCAGUGGUCGAGUUUUAUCAUUACAUCAAGGCCUUGGAACAAAGAACUUACAAUCUUUUACAACACAAUUUGUAUACUUUUAUGGAUACUGCUACUUUAAAAGGUUGUAUCAUAUUAAAUACAACACAAAGUCAAUUGGAACAAAAGUAAAUUUGAUUCUUGCAGCUUCUGCAGGUGCUUGUACUGCCAUCGUUACUCAGGCUUGUCAAGUCGGUGUAACAAACACAGCUUAAGCAACUCCAACAGAUAUGGAAUAUAUGACAACAAACCUGCAGCAGUCUUCACAUUAGAGAAGAGAGCAACCACUAGAAAGGCCAUAGAAAUCUGGAAUAGUUGCAAAAUGACCCAUGUAAAGAAUAAUGGUCUAAGGAGAGAAGAGAAAUCCAGUCUUAACUAUUAUCUACAAAUUAUGAUUCACUGAUUCCAGUUCCUUUCAUUGAUUCCCUACAUGAAACCUCUCCUCGAAUUCUUCUCACAUGACUUGUACCUUCUUCUGCAACAUCCAUUUUCUCCUUCAAGGAAAUAGUAAAAAAUGAAGGUACCUGAAGUAAUAAUUUGAUGAUUUGAAAGUCAAUAUUAGCAUGGUACCAGACUAAAAAUUGGGUCGAUAUCCGAGAUCCAUAUACCGAGAAGAUAUUCUUCAACGAUCUAGUCAGAUCCCACUUUAGUAAUUAUUCCUUUUUCUAUACAGAAAUUUUUGCAUUUUUCUUCCGGCAACAAUGGCGACUGAUAUUGGACAUCCACACACUAGGUUGAUGAUGAAAGCGAAUAGCUCUAGAGUUAGAAGAGGAAAAGAAAGCUCAAGUUGAAAGAGAUAAGAUGCUGCAAAUGCAAGUGUUGCAUUCUUCAUUCCAAUUGUUAGUAGUAGAUUAGAUGAAUGCAAAUUUAUAUAUUGUUAGAAAUAAAAUUAUAUGACAUUAAAUAUUAUGCAAUGGAUUGUAUUUUUUG